rnacentral:rRNA from 1 species
UACGUAGGGGGGCAAGCGUUGUCCGGAUUUAUUGGGCGUAAAGAGCGUGUAGGCGGUUUGGUAGGUCCGCUGUGAAAACUCGAGGCUCAACCUCGAGACGCCGGUGGAAACCAUCAGACUAGAGUCCGGAAGAGGAGAGUGGAAUUCCCGGUGUAGCGGUGAAAUGCGCAGAUAUCAGGAAGAACACCCGUGGCUAAGGCGGCUCUCUAGUACGGUACUGACGCUGAGACGCGAAAGCGUGGGGAGCGAACAGG